UACGGGGGGGGGCAAGCGUUGUUCGGAAUUACUGGGCGUAAAGGGUUCGUAGGUGGCCCGCUAAGUCACACGUGAAAUCCCUCAGCUUAACUGGGGAACUGCGUGUGAGACUGGCGGGCUUGAGUGCAGGAGAGGAACGCGGAAUUCCAGGUGUAGCGGUGAAAUGCGUAGAUAUCUGGAGGAACACCGGUGGCGAAGGCGGCGUUCUGGACUGUAUCUGACACUGAGGAACGAAAGCCAGGGGAGCAAACGGG
rnacentral:rRNA from 1 species